GACGAACGCUGGCGGCGUGCUUAACACAUGCAAGUCGAACGGAAAGGCCCUGCUUUUGUGGGGUGCUCGAGUGGCGAACGGGUGAGUAACACGUGAGUAACCUGCCCUUGACUUUGGGAUAACUUCAGGAAACUGGGGCUAAUACCGGAUAGGAGCUCCUGCAGCAUGGUGGGGGUUGGAAAGUUUCGGCGGUUGGGGAUGGACUCGCGGCUUAUCAGCUUGUUGGUGGGGUAGUGGCUUACCAAGGCUUUGACGGGUAGCCGGCCUGAGAGGGUGACCGGCCACAUUGGGACUGAGAUACGGCCCAGACUCCUACGGGAGGCAGCAGUGGGGAAUAUGGCACAAUGGGCGGAAGCCUGAUGCAGCAACGCCGCGUUCGGGAUGACGGCCUUCGGGUUGUAAACCGCUUUCGCCUGUGACGAAGCGUGAGUGACGGUAAUGGGUAAAGAAGCACCGGCUAACUACGUG
rnacentral:rRNA from 1 species